AACGAACGCUGGCGGCAGGCCUAACACAUGCAAGUCGAGCGAGGACUUCGGUUCUAGCGGCGGACGGGUGAGUAACGCGUGGGAAUGUGCCCUUCUCUACGGAAUAGCCCUGGGAAACUGGGAGUAAUACCGUAUACGCCCUAUUGGGGAAAGAUUUAUCGGAGAAGGAUCAGCCCGCGUUGGAUUAGGUAGUUGGUGGGGUAAUGGCCUACCAAGCCGACGAUCCAUAGCUGGUUUGAGAGGAUGAUCAGCCACACUGGGACUGAGACACGGCCCAGACUCCUACGGGAGGCAGCAGUGGGGAAUCUUAGAAAAUGGGGGCAACCAUGAUCUAGCCAUGCUGCGUGAGUGAUGAAGGCCUUAGGGUUGUAAAGCUCUUUCAGCUGGGAAGAUAAUGACGGUACCAGCAGAAGAAGCCCCGGCUAACUCCGUG
rnacentral:rRNA from 1 species